UCUACUAAAACUACAAAAAAUUAGCCAGGUGA
rnacentral:piRNA from 1 species